rnacentral:rRNA from 1 species
CCUACGGGGAGCUGCAGUGGGGAAUAUUGGACAAUGGGGGCAACCCUGAUCCAGCCAUGCCGCGUGUGUGAAGAAGGCCCUCGGGUUGUAAAGCACUUUCAGUGAGGAAGAACGCCUGGUGGUUAAUACCCAUCAGGAAAGACAUCACUCACAGAAGAAGCACCGGCUAACUCCGUGCCAGCAGCCGCGGUAAUACGGAGGGUGCGAGCGUUAAUCGGAAUUACUGGGCGUAAAGCGCGCGUAGGUGGCUUGAUAAGCCGGUUGUGAAAGCCCCGGGCUCAACCUGGGAACGGCAUCCGGAACUGUCAAGCUAGAGUGCAGGAGAGGAAGGUAGAAUUCCCGGUGUAGCGGUGAAAUGCGUAGAGAUCGGGAGGAAUACCAGUGGCGAAGGCGGCCUUCUGGACUGACACUGACACUGAGGUGCGAAAGCGUGGGUAGCAAACAGGAUUAGAUACCCGUGUAGUC